rnacentral:misc_RNA from 1 species
AUUAAAUAUAAAUUUAAAAAAUAAUUGCAUAGUUAGGGGGGAAAUCGCGAGACAAAUCUUUUGAGUCUAAUUAGUCCAUGAUUAGUCAUAAGUGCUACAGUAACCCGCAUUUGCUAAUGACGGAUUAAUUAGGCUCAAAAAAUUCAUCUCGCGGUUUCCAAGCGAGUUAUGAAAUUAGUU